CAUGCCCCUUAUACGCUGGGCUACACACGUGCUACAAUGGGUAGAACAGAGAGUUGCAAAGCCGUGAGGUGGAGCUAAUCUCAGAAAACUAUUCUUAGUUCGGAUUGUACUCUGCAACUCGAGUACAUGAAGUUGGAAUCGCUAGUAAUCGCGAAUCAGCAAUGUCGCGGUGAAUACGUUCUCGGGUCUUGUACACACCGCCCGUCACACCACGAGAGUUGGUUGCACCUGAAGUAGCAGGCCUAACCGUAAGGAGGGAUGCUCCGAGGGUGUGAUUAGCGAUUGGGGUGAAGUCGUAACAAGGUAUCCGUACGGGAACGUGCGGAUGGAUCACCUCCUUUCUAAGGAGAAUAAGUCUUUCUCUAUUCUAUUGGUAAUGUUCUUUACAUUACUUCUGAACAUUGGAAACUAUAUAGUAGAACAAACAAGAAAACAAAAUUAACUCUAACAAUUUCUUUAGAGUUAGCUGUCAAAAAAAUAGAUUAAAAUAAUUAAGGGCACACAAAGGAUGCCUAGGUAGUAAGAGCCGAUGAAGG
rnacentral:sRNA from 1 species